UACGUAGGGCGCAAGCGUUGUCCGGAAUUAUUGGGCGUAAAGGGCGCGUAGGCGGCUACGCACGUCCGUUGUGAAAUCGCUCGGCUCAACUGGGCGGGGUCAGCGGAUACGGCGUAGCUGGAGCAAGCUAGGGGGCAAUGGAAUUCCCGGUGUAGUGGUGGAAUGCGUAGAUAUCGGGAGGAACAUCAGUGGCGAAGGCGGCCUUCUGGUCCAGUACUGACACUCAAGUGCGAAAGCGUGGGGAGCAAACAGG
rnacentral:rRNA from 1 species